rnacentral:rRNA from 1 species
GACAGAGGGUGCAAACGUUGUUCGGAAUUACUGGGCGUAAAGAGCGUGUAGGCGGCUAUGUAAGUCGGAUGUGAAAGCCCGCGGCUCAACUGCGGAAGAGCACCCGAAACUGCGUAGCUAGAGUCUCGGAGAGGAAGGUGGAAUGCUUGGUGUAGAGGUGAAAUUCGUAGAUAUCAAGCGGAACACCGGUGGCGAAGGCGGCCUUCUGGACGAUGACUGACGCUGAGACGCGAAAGCGUGGGGAGCAAACAGG